rnacentral:lncRNA from 1 species
GCUAGGUUGCAGAGACUUGGGAAAACUUUUGGAAAAUCGAUAUCGUUUUGACACCGUAAGUUUCUUAAUUAUAGGAACCAACCCGAAUACUUAUUAAGUUGUGGCCUUGAAAUCUCACCCUUGAAUUAAUCCUUAAGUAGUUUAUUUUAGCAGUCAACACCAUCUUAGCUACCACUACGUGAACAAGCUAAUGCAAAUAGGUGAAUGAUCCAGUAAAAAGAAAGAAAAAGAAAAAAAUACAUGUAGAAAAAAC